ACCGAGCACGUUUACGUUCCCAACCACGCUCGGGGACUUGUCGACUACUCUCUAUGCUGUGCUCGAAGACUGUGCCGACCACCGAGCACGUUUACGUUCCCAACCACGCUCGGGGACUUGUCCACCGGUCCCUACGCCGUGCUCGGGGACUUGUCCACCGGUCCCUACGCCGUGCUCGGGGACUGUGCCGACCACCGAGCACUAUACGCUCGGGGACUGGUCGACCAGCUCACCAAUUUAUGAACUUGGGGACUGCACCGACCACCGAGCACUAUACGCUCGGGGACUGGUCGACCAGCCCACCAAUUUGAGAAUUCGGGGACUGUACCGACCACCAAGCGUUAUAUGCUCGGAGACUGGUCGAUCAGUCUAUUCAAUUGCAGACGAGCAUGAUAUGCUCGGGGACUGGUAAAUUCAAUUUUUUAGACCUUGCUACAAGGCUCAUACUUCGCCUUCC
rnacentral:lncRNA from 1 species